UGAUAAUUAUGUAACUUAUUGAUUUCUGUUCGUGUUUAUGGCCGCAUUGCGGCCUUUUUUCUUUCAAGUAAAGGAUACCCACCGUAAAAUCACGCUACCUCUUUUCAGCUGAAUGGAUAAC
rnacentral:sRNA from 1 species